ensembl:lncRNA
AGCAGGUACGGAGCGUGAACAUUUAAUAUUGCACAGACAAGGAACAGGACAAGAACAGCGUUAGAACCGGGUAACACAACGACAAACAACAAUUAUGUUGAAGCGGGUAACAACCUCGGGAACAGACAGAUAUAGGGGAGGAAAUGAAAGCAUGUGAUUGAGUCCAGGAAGAAGAGUCCACACAACACCACCUGUGUACUGGGUCUGCUGGUCAGUCAACUGAGAUUACGAUACACAGAUGGAGAGCGGAGCAUGGCAGAUUAUGAAGGGGAGUAGUCCAAUAAAGACAUGGACUGACUAUAACAGUUCUACAUCUUACAAUUUUCACAAGGAUUUUGAUGCAUAUAGUCAUGGCUAAUAAACUACACUGACUCCUCAAAUGCAGCUGCAAAUUGGUAUUGGACUGAAAGACAGAGGCAUAAGUCGUCAGAAACCUCAGACAGCAAAGAAACGAAGGCAGCUUCACCAGAGACAGGAGUCUGAAAAAGAGGGAGGCCUGUUGUCUCGUCUGAAGACCUGUGUGUCUGCUAGUCUCAGUGGGACACCAACAGGAGCCCGUGGUCUGACACUCUUUGUAAAGGAGCCAACAAUGGCUACAUGGCAUUUCACCCACUCAAAGGCAUCAAG